AGCUUUGCUCAGUGGCAGUAUCAUAGCCAAUGAGGUUUAUCCGAGGUGCGAUUAUUGCUAAUUGAAAACUUAAAGAAUUCCUGGUCAUGUCACUUCCCCCUUUAUGGUGCUGAGUUUAAAAUCAUCCAAAGCUUAUGUAAUUAAUUAGGUUA
rnacentral:snRNA from 1 species